rnacentral:rRNA from 1 species
CAGUAGCCGCCGGGAAUACGUAGGUGGCGAGCGUUGUCCGGAAUUAUUGGGCGUAAAGGGCUCGCAGGCGGUUUCUUAAGUCUGAUGUGAAAGCCCCCGGCUCAACCGGGGAGGGUCAUUGGAAACUGGGAAACUUGAGUGCAGAAGAGGAGAGUGGAAUUCCAUGUGUAGCGGUGAAAUGCGUAGAGAUGUGGAGGAACACCAGUGGCGAGGGCGACUCUCUGGUCUGUAACUGACGCUGAGGAGCGAAAGCGUGGGGAGCGAACAGGAUUAGAUACCCCUGUAGUCCCUGUCUCUUAUA